rnacentral:rRNA from 1 species
AUGGCUCAGAACGAACGCUGGCAGCGUGGAUUAGGCAUGCAAGUCGAACGGGAUCGGGAAGGUAGCAAUAUCGGCCCGUGAGAGUGGCGGAAGGGCGAGGAACACGUGGGCAACCUGUCCUUGAGGUGGGGAAAACCGUUGGAAACGACGGCUAAUACCGAAUGUGGCGCCGGGAGGCAUCUUCCGCGCGCUAAAGGGGGCCGCAAGGCUCCCCCUCUUCGAGGGGCUCGCGCACCAUCAGCUUGUUGGCGGGGUAACGGCCCACCAAGGCUCACGGUUAGCUGGUCUGAGAGGAUGGCCAGCCGCACUGGGACUGAGAUACUGCCCAGACUCCUACGGGAGGCUGCAGUCGAGGAUCAUUCGCAAUGGGGGAAACCCUGACGAUGCGACGCUGCGUGGAAGGAUGAAGGCCCUCGGGUCGUAAACUCCUGUCAUGAGGGAAAAGGCGAGGGGACCCAACACGUCCCUUAGUUGAUGGUACCUCAAGAGGAACGGGCGGCUAACUCUGUGCCAGCAGCUGC